rnacentral:rRNA from 1 species
GGCGGACGGGUGAGUAACACGUGGGUAACCUGCCCUUAAGACUGGGAUAACUCCGGGAAACCGGGGCUAAUACCGGAUAACAUUUUGAACUGCAUGGUUCGAAAUUGAAAGGCGGCUUCGGCUGUCACUUAUGGAUGGACCCGCGUCGCAUUAGCUAGUUGGUGAGGUAACGGUCACAAAGGCAACGAUGCGUAGCCGACCUGAGAGGGUGAUCGGCCACACUGGGACUGAGACACGGCCCUGACUCCUACGGGAGGCAGCAGUAGGGAAUCUUCCGCAAUGGACGAAAGUCUGACGGAGCAACGCGCGUGUGUGAUGAAGGCUUUCGGGUCGUAAAACUCUGUUGUUAGGGAAGAACAAGUGCUAGUUGAAUAAGCUGGCACCUUGACGGUACCUAACCAGAAAGCCACGGCUAACUACGUGCCAGCAGCCGCGGUAAUACGUAGGUGGCAAGCGUUAUCCGCAAUUAUUGGGCGUAAAGCGCGCGCAGGUGGUUUCUUAAGUCUGAUGUGAAAGCCCACGGCUCAACCGUGGAGGGUCAUAGGAAACUGGGAGACUUGAGUGCAGAAGAGGAAAGUGGAAUUCCAUGUGUAGCGGUGAUAUGCGUAGAGAUAUGGAGGAAAACCAGUGGCGAAGGCGACUUU